UACGAAGGGGGCUAGCGUUGCUCGGAAUCACUGGGCGUAAAGCGCACGUAGGCGGGUUCUUAAGUCGGUGGUGAAAUCCUGGAGCUCAACUCCAGAACUGCCUCCGAUACUGAGAGCCUCGAGUCCGGGAGAGGUGAGUGGAACUGCGAGUGUAGAGGUGAAAUUCGUAGAUAUUCGCAAGAACACCAGUGGCGAAGGCGGCUCACUGGCCCGGUACUGACGCUGAGGCACGAAAGCGUGGGAGCAACAGGG
rnacentral:rRNA from 1 species